CACAGGGGUGAUGUGAGGAUAAAUACAUUAAAGAUUGUGAAGCAUUCAGAUACUACAGUAAUGGGGCAGAUUAGGAUCUUAGAAAGAUACCAAGAAAAGAAUGUGUCAACUACAGGCUUGAUCCAGACAACUGUGCACACUCACUUUCUUGGAAUUAAGCAUUGGUAGUUGGGGUGAGAUUUCUGAGAGAGGACAUUGCUGUUUGGGACCAUCUCUGUUCAAGGACCGGUGUAUAGUAUGUAAAUAAACCCAUUGUACACACACACACAAAAUACCCAGACUCCCCAUUUGAAAGGCAUUCAGAUGGAUGGUGGGUGAGGUUAAGAUUGAACAUAACUAAAACACCUCUGCAAUCCAUUAAUUAAUUAAUAGUUUGGGUAGUGGGGAUGGUCAGAACCUGAGGAAUUACCCUUAAUUUGAUUUUAUUCAAGAUGUGGAGUAUAGGGAAAUCUUGAGUUUAUGAAGCUAUUGAUAUCUUUUAAAAAACCUAGACUGGAAGUUACCUUUCUAAAAGAAAUCAGUGCAGAAAUAGAACAUUUGAUCUAUGCACUCUUUUUCUGUAUUUAAGCCCUAUGAAGCCUGAAUUCAUAACAUACCUUUACCAACUUCCUCAUAAAGGUGAAACCCUUUUAUGCAAUCUACAUAAUCUAGUAAAUGUGAUGUUCUCAAUUAUACCUGUAAACAAGUGAGUGCAAUGAAAGGAAGUUUUAAAAAGCAUGCAUCCAAGAAACUUUCUGACUUUUGUUUUUAUUCUUUUUUUCUUGACGUACUCCCACAUAAUAUAAAAUUAGGGCCAUAUUCAAGCUUUUGUUAUGAGAAGAUGAUGAGCCUAUGUUUAAGCAAAUUUGGUACAUCCCCUUGGGUUAUGUGUCAUUCACCGAGCUGUGCUUACAGUCUGAGCCAGAUGGCUGAUGCAGAAGUCUUUUGGAAGAACACAUCUCUACAGAGGAUGAUGUCGCACUGUACGUGGUGGCCAGGCUGUCACUGAAUGCAACUCCGUCACGGGGAAGAACACUGCCCAAAUAUGAAAUAUGGAAAACACAUUUUCAGCCAGGAGAGGGGAAAAAAAUCUAUUCCAAAAUACUCUCCACCUCCCAAUUUCCUUGAUAUCUUCCCCUGCUGCUGACUUCAAUGAUACUUCAUGUGGCCACAAGGGGUUGCCUGCAGAGAGCCAGCUACAGAAUCAGGCCCUCGGAUAUUAUUCCAGAUCACAACAUAAAAUGGAUAGAAAGAAUCCUAUAAUCCAGCAGCCCACAGAAGAAAGACUGCUUUUCAAGCAAAUUACAGAACGAGAAUACCUGACCUACUUUACAGUGAACUGGAGACUUCUCUAUUGUUUCUUCAUUUGUCAUAAGAAACUGUAUAAACUCUUUUUGUGGAUCCCAGUUUGUAUCAUUUCCUGAUCUGAAACCACCUGUACCUGAGGA